AUGGAGGGCCGCUCCGUCAGCCUCUCCAGUGACGACGUCACAGGUCUCAGCCAAUCACAGCUGACCCUGUCGCGAAGCUCCACCCUUCCAUAUGACCACGCACCCCAGAGGGCCCAGCCACAGCGUGGCGGCGGGGUCAGAAGUAAGACCCGCCCUGCUUCUCCUGGGAGUGAGAUGGUGACGCUGGAAGAGUUCCUGCAGGAGAGCAACCUGCAGUCUCCUCCUGUGGUGUCCACAGGAAGCAGAGAGGACCUGGUGACGGACUAUUUUGCUAGAAGCCCCGCCUCCUCAGCUCCUGCCUGCAGAGAUCAGGCAACGCCCACCAGCUACGUCACGCCCACCGUGCAGUCGUCCAAUCAGAGGCCGGGACAGAGUGUGAAGCCCUCGCCCCGUCAGCCCGUGGGCCAGUCGCCGGCCUCGGGUCAGAGAAGCAGCCAAUCGCUGAGCAGGACCUUCAGCCUGGCCUCGGCCGACCUGCUGCGCUCUAACGGGCCGGACAGCUUCAGAGGACACGACGGCUCCCCCGGCCAGGCUGACGCCGUGGUGCGGCGUCAAGGAGGCGGGACCACUGGGAGAGAGCGGCCGCUGUCGGCUCGUUUUACCGCUCUGUCCAAUCAGCACGCAGAUGGCAGCUUCCUGAACCCGCCCAUCCACCACUCCGCCUCCCUGAACCUGCAGGCGGAGCGCUACGCGGAGCGAGAGCGGGACCGAGGGCGGAGCGCCGCCUCCCGAAAUGGCCCUCACCGUGGUGAAAUUGCCAUGGUAACCCAGUGAGAGCGACGCCUGCCACUCAGCCUGACGACACCCCCGAGUACGCAGAGGUCCCGAGGGAGGGGCGGUUGGGCGACUCCGCCCACAUGAAGAAGGAUGGCGAGAGAGGGAGGUGUGGCUCGGUGGAACGCCCAAAGAGCACCCCGGCGUCACCCGACCCCAACAACGACCCGCAGACGGUGUGGUACGAGUACGGCUGCGUCUAAAUACCGGAGCGCCACGCCCUGCAUCCAGCCUCAGAGACAGGAAGUGAGACUGAAGCCACCCUUUCACUUCCUGUUAGUAAAUAAGUGGACAGGUGAGGCAGUCACAUGAUCAUCACUCUGAGGUGGAUGCAGGACUGGAUGGACACUAUCAGCGCUCCCCAUGGGGGGGCGGGGCUUACCGGAGCGGGACGUUUCCUGAAAACAUCUUUUUUGGAUUCUAUAGUGACGCCGAGCUGACGCUCCGUCUCUAACACACACAGAGAAGACGCUGCUCCAUCACCUCCACCCUGCAGCCACCACAACACAACACUACGAGCGGCCCUGUCUAACUGCUGGACUCUCUGCAGGACCGCCGCCUGAAUGUACGGGACACCACAUUCCCCGCCUCCAAAAUCACGCCAAACACUGGAAAAGACACAGGAGGGGUGGAGGAGGGGUGGGGGUGGGGGUAAACAGGACAGGCGGAGAGCCUCCUCCCUUUUAAAUUACAGCCCUGCUCCAUCCAUCUUUAGAUUCUAUCCCAGCAUGCAACGCUCUGACACUUUACUGGAAAUGUUGCUCAACCCAAGCCGACACUAGACACACACACACACACAUUUAUAUAAUGAUAGAGAGACACUCAGGCUUUGUCCUCGGGGGGUUUCUGUGGCUUCUCUGCUCAGCUGGAUUUAAUUCAAACACACACACACAGACACACACUCUCUCACACACACACAGACACACACAGACACACACUGAGGUUUGGAGCCUGCGGCUGAGAGUAAAAUCAUUCACGUGUUUCCUCUGAGCUGUAACAGCCACUGUUUUGGUGUUUGUGUUAAUUAUAGAUGGAACACACACACACACACCUCAUUCCCGGAUUCACGCUCAUUUGGUGAUUGUCUGUUUGUCUCAGAGGUCAGAGGUCACGUGAAUGAUUUUAGUGUUUUUCCCUCUGGCUGAGCUCACACACUUCGGGGAGGAAGAGGAGGCACAAUGACUGAAGGUGUGUCUCACACACAGCUGAUGAUAUUUAAUGACUGACCUUUGACCUGCUGUUUCAAAGCACUACAUUAACGAUGAUGAUGAUGAUGGUAGAGAUGAAGAUGUAACACUGGAGUUAUGAAAUGAAGACUGAGCUGAUAUGAGUUAAAUUAUUCCUCCUGGAAUUUGUACGUGUUUGAUGAUUUUUUUUGUUUUUACUUUGAAAAUACCAAAUGACUUCCUGUGUGUGUGGCGGCGCUGCAGGUCGAUGAUGUCACGUUACCUGUGCGUUUGCUCUGUUUGUGUUUGCUGUAAAGUCGACCUGUUCUGCUGGUUACUGCUGCACCUGUGAGAGUGGCUGAGCAUGAGUCUCAGCUCAGAAUAAUGCUUCUGUGUCUGAGCCAUCCUCUGUCUGAAUCAGGCUGCUUUAGCUCCUCCCUCUGCGAGGCUGGAUUCAUACAUACACAUCAUGCUCAUUUCUCAGCAGCCAAUUAAAUCCUCCGGCUUCAUCACGAGCCAAUCAGAUCACGUUCUAAGAAUAUCUGAGAGCGAGCGAGGUGGCUGUUAGAAAACUUUCUUCUGAUUGGCUGCCCCUCACAAACAGUUUGAAUGCA